GAAGGUAGGCCCUUCGAAACCGUCAUACAGGUGAAAGUUUCAAACCACCUUAAGUUGCUAUAGUCAAAAGCUAUGGUAGUGAGCGUUAAGGAAAAGGUAGAACAAGAUUCUACCAGGU
rfam:Proteiniborus sp. DW1 genome assembly, contig: DW1_contig14